rnacentral:rRNA from 1 species
CAGGCCUAACACAUGCAAGUCGAGGGAGAAGCUAUCUUCGGAUAGUGGAGACCGGCAGACGGGUGAGUAACACGUGGGAACRUACCGAGUAGUGGGGGAUAACAGUUGGAAACGACUGCUAAUACCGCAUACGCCCUUCGGGGGAAAGAUUUAUCGCUAUUCGAUUGGCCCGCGUUAGAUUAGCUAGUUGGUAAGGUAACGGCUUACCAAGGCGACGAUCUAUAGCUGGUUUGAGAGGAUGAUCAGCCACACUGGGACUGAGACACGGCCCAGACUCCUACGGGAGGCAGCAGUGGGGAAUAUUGCGCAAUGGAGGAAACUCUGACGCAGCCAUGCCGCGUGAGUGAAGAAGGCCUUAGGGUUGUAAAGCUCUUUCAGACGUGAUGAUGAUGACAGUAGCGUCAAAAGAAGUUCCGGC